ACCUUUAGCUCAGUUGGUUAGAGCAUCCGGCUCAUAACCGGACGGUCCUGGGUUCGAGUCCCCGAAGG
rnacentral:tRNA from 1 species